rnacentral:rRNA from 1 species
UGGGGAAUAUUGCGCAAUGGGGGAAACCCUGACGCAGCAACGCCGCGUGAAGGAUGAAGGUUUUCGGAUUGUAAACUUCUUUGACACAGGACGAUAAUGACGGUACUGUGAAAACAAGCCACGGCUAACUACGUGCCAGCAGCCGCGGUAAUACGUAGGUGGCGAGCGUUGUCCGGAUUUACUGGGUGUAAAGGGCGAGUAGGCGGGGAGAAAAGUCAGUAGUGAAAUACCACGGCUCAACUGUGGGGCUGCUAUUGAAACUUUCUUUCUUGAGUGAUGGAGAGGCAGGCGGAAUUCCCGGUGUAGCGGUGAAAUGCGUAGAGAUCGGGAGGAACACCAGUGGCGAAGGCGGCCUGCUGGACGUUAACUGACGCUGAGGCGCG